CUGAACCAGCCAAGUAGCGUGAAGGAUGACUGCCCUAUGGGUUGUAAACUUCUUUUAUAAAGGAAUAAAGUCGGGUAUGUAUACCCGUUUGCAUGUACUUUAUGAAUAAGGAUCGGCUAACUCCGUGCCAGCAGCCGCGGUAAUACGGAGGAUCCGAGCGUUAUCCGGAUUUAUUGGGUUUAAAGGGAGCGUAGGCGGAUUAUUAAGUCAGUUGUGAAAGUUUGCGG
rnacentral:rRNA from 1 species